rnacentral:rRNA from 1 species
GACGAACGCUGGCGGCGUGCUUAACACAUGCAAGUCGAACGGGAUUAUCAGCGGAGCAAUCCGCGGGUAAUCAAGUGGCGGACGGGUGAGUAACGCGUGAACAAUCUGUCCUAAAGAGGGGGAUAACAUCCGGAAACGGGUGCUAAUACCGCAUGGGACCACGUCAUCGCAUGGUGAAGUGGUGAAAGGAGAAAUCCGCUUUAGGGUGAGUUCGCGUCCCAUUAGAUAGUUGGUGGGGUAGAAGCCUACCAAGUCAACGAUGGGUAGCCGAUCUGAGAGGAUGACCGGCCACACUGGAACCGAGAAACGGUCCAGACUCCUACGGGAGGCAGCAGUGGGGAAUAUUGGGCAAUGGGCGAAAGCCUGACCCAGCAACGCCGCGUGAGGGAAGAAGGCCUUCGGGUCGUAAACCUCUGUCGCAGGGGACGAGAAAGAGACGGUACCCUGCAAGGAAGCCCCGGCUAACUACGUGCCAGCAGCCGCCGCGGUAA